CCACACUGCAUGUUCCAGAAGUCAGCUUCACCUUUCCCAGCCCCACAUGGCAGAAUGGUGCAGGCCCCAUCCGGGCAGCUCUCCUGCCCCGGGACCUCCGAGGGUCUGCAGACAGCGGAGGCCAACACCGCAGCCCACUGCGCCCCAGCAACCCCGUGGGUGCCCGGGUGGCAAUGCCAAGAGGCCACGGAGACCGAGAUGGUUGGUGGCUGGUGGAGCAGGCAUCCCGGGGGCCAGGAGCCGACCCUGUCCCAAGGCUGGAUGGGCGAGGGGCUAUGGCCAGGGCACACGGGGCAGCCCUCACACUACCCCAGGGCCGCCUCACCUCCUAGAGGUCGGCGCCGUGCCGUGGAGACCCAGCCCUGCCUAUGGACCCUCCCAGGAAGCCCCGGCCUUUCUGGGGUCCCCCCCACUGAAGACGCCCUUCCAGGACCACCCCACUUCCAGGGCCUGCUCUAGGAGGGUGCUGUCUGGGGUUGAGGGUUGCUCCAGCCCUUAGGCCCGGGCCGCAGAGGCCCUGGGGCUGCCCGAGGGGCCACAGGCAGGUGGUGGGGUUCCCCAGUUUGGAGGUGUGCAAGCAGGUGAGCCCUGGUGUUAAGAGUGAGCAUCAGGUGGCAGCAGUUUUUCUCCGGCUCCUUCCAAGAACAGAUCUUACUACGGAAGGCUGGAGACCUACAUCCCACUCUGGCUCUCCUUCCUGUGCUUUUGCUUGGGUUAGUGUCUUAUCCCACUCAGCUUCUGUACGAAAACACUGUGGCUGGGUGGCUUAGGGACCACAGACAUUGGUUUCUCUCAGCUUGGAAGCUGGGAAGUCUGAAAUCAGGGUCCCAGCCUGAAUGGGCUCCAGUAGGGUCUGCUUCUGGGUUGCAGACUGCUGACCCUGUGCUGUGUCCCUGCUGCUUUUAUGGGGGACAUUAUUUCCAUUCAAGAGGACUGCACCUUGCUAACGUAACUGCCCUGGGCGCACCCUUUUAAUACUAUCACUUUGAGAUUAGGUUUCACCAGGCAAAUUUGGGAAGACACAAGCAUUUCACCCACUGUGAUUGUUCUGUGGAUACUUCCCAUUCUUGGGUACAGCCAGCCCAGGGGUUCCCUCCUGGAGGUUCCCAAGCUUCCUGUCCACACCCCCAGGGUAAUCUUCAGCACAUGGAACAGGAGGCCCUUGAAAGCCCCUCAGCCAGGGCCCACCUCCUCCCCAUCUUGGCCUUUGGGGACCCACAUGGGACUGACCCUGAGUCCCCUUGCCUUCUUGCUGGGGGCUCCAGCUGCCUCCAGAGUAAAAUGUAGCCCCAUAGCAUGUGGCUGCAUCAGCCACUAGCAGGGUAAAGCAGGUGCAGAGAUGAGGGUCAGUGGCCAAAGUUUAGAGCCUUACAGAGGUAGGAGGGCCAGCCCAAGGUUGGCUGCUGAGUGAUGGCCUCAAGCCCAGGCCUGGCUUCCUGAGACUUUGUUACCCCACCAUGCCUUCAGGACACUGGAGACAAGCACUGCAGAGCUGCAUGUAGGGCCAGGGUGCGGAGCAAUGGGUGCAUCAUUAAUGGGGGCUCUGUCCAUUCUCCUGUCCUGGAAAGGUGGUGCAUCUCCAAUUUGCACACCUCUUCUUUCUCUCUCUUUUACCCUAUUGGUGCCCAUAGCAACUGGAGCCCAGGAGUCGUUGGCUCUCCCAGCUUCCUCUGUCAGUGGGAGCUGAGGAUUCUUAGCCUAUCUCUUGCCCAAGCCACAGUUAUUUCUACUUUUCCUCUGUUGCAACCCUGGUUAUGAAAGCAGAGGCUGUUGUAGCUGUUAGGGGACAUGGAAAUACCUCAAACUGAAACACAAACUGAGGAGCUGGGGGUGCAAGCUCAGUAGUGGAGUGCUUGCCUCACAUGUGGGUUGGGGGUGUCUGGCUGAGCCAGACUGUGGCCGCCCCUGGGGAGGUCACACCUUGCUCAGAGGUCGGUGGGGGCACUAAAGGUGAGGGAUGCAGCCAGCUGGGCAGGACUUAAAGGCGUCUGGAGGAGAAGACCUUCACCACCAUGGCCACCACCAGGGCAGAGUUGGCCCUGACCCCACCAAGGCAGCCACUCAGCUGUCAUACAGCCCUGGCUCUGGAGCCCCAAUCUGAAUGCUGGUCCUGACUCUGUCACUGACAGAGUGUACUGGCAGCCAUGUACCGUCCCUAGUUGGUUGACUUCUCUGAGCUCCUUCCUCCUUAUGGAUAGAUGGCAGAUAGGAGAAAAUUAGUAAAAAUGUUUUCCCAUGUUGCUAAUGUCCAAUCCAGUUAUUUAAAAUGGAGGGGAAAUUAG
rnacentral:lncRNA from 1 species